rnacentral:lncRNA from 1 species
AUCGAGUACUAAGAAAUAGCGAACGCAUAACACAAUAACGAAAUAAUAAUAAAGCAUAAAAAAAAAUUAUAGAAAUCACACAAUCGAGAACGCAAAAAUUUACGUAGUUCAACCAAAACCUACAUUUAUAGAAACCAGAGUAAGAAUUAGCUUCACCAUAAAGUAGUUAAGAAUAUAAUGUCUUUUUCAACACUAUACGGAAAACACCACUUGUAGUACAAGAAGAAAGAAACCAAGAUUAAAAUACUCACCAAAGAACCUUGGUUGGAAUAACCCUAACACUAGGUUGAGUGAACCCCUCCAACCGACGUUCUCCGAUCUUUUCCUCCAAAUCGAAACACUCUCUGAGCCUCUCUUCUUCUCUCCUAUUUUGGUGAUUUUUCGAAACCCUAGUUUUUCUCUCAGAAGCUUCUCCCAAAGUUCCUCAUCAAAAUGUCCUCACCAGGGCUAUCAUGAUACAAUAUAUGGACCAUAAACUCCGGGUUCAAAACCGACUCGAACCGUCGAAUCCGACCAGCUGGAUUCCCAAAAUCGAUCGAUCGGAUUUGAUGCACCCUAAUCCGACCGAUCGGAUGGUUCGAAGUAGAUUUAUGAACUCGAUUCCGACAGAUUGGAAUUCCGAGCCGGCCGAUCGGAUUGUUCGCAGAAGAGGGACCCAACAUUUUGGUGCUACUUGAUGCUAAGAUAUAUAGAACUUUGGAAAACUUGCUACUUUAUAUGCAUAAACCUUUUAGAAUUUGUGGAUUACAUCUAUUAUUAUUAGUUUGAUUAUGUUUUAGUUUUAAAAUGUCUAGACAAAAAAUAUUUAGAGCUUAUAUGAACUAACCCCACUUGAUUUGAAUAUCUCCCGUACGACAUUUAAAAACUAUUGCACUUCAAAAUUUGGAUACAUUAUUUAUUGUUAUGGACUUGAAUACUAUAAACAAUAUAAGUUGCGUGAUUAUAGAUUUAUUAAAAAAGCGAUGAGUCUAAUAUUUAUACCAGAAACACCAUCAAAUAGAUUAAAUUAAACAAACUAAAAGAUUGGAUAUCAAAAUCAAUCAAAAGGGAUCAUAAUUCCGAUAAGUUAUAUACAUUUUUAGCUAAUUUUUUUAAUUUAUAAUGUACUGUCUAAAACGACAAGCAAACCAAUUAAUAAAAAAUAAUUUCUCCAACUUAUUCCCCCACCUAAGGGUAGCUAGAAACAAUAAUAAAAGAAUAUAUAUGUAUGAUGCCCAAAUUUUAAGCAACACACUCAUCCCAUAUUCCCAUGAGAGAGAGAGAGAGAGAGAGAGAGAGAGAGAGAGCAUACCAACAAAUGUAAGGCAAAAUCCAUAAUGAGAUGCUUCAAUAUCUCUCACUUGAAACCACCAUCCCUUUCAUAUCAUAGUUGAGUAGAAUGGAAGCUAAAUAUUCACUUUCUUUUUAUAGCUAUAUAUAUAUAUAUAUAUAUAUAUAUAUAUAUUGUAGAGGGUUUUUUUCUUUUCAAGUUGGUGAAGUAGGCCUAUAUAUAAAUAGUGCAUUGUUCCAAGUUACACAUGCAAUAUAGUUGCUAAGAUUAUUAGAUGUAACCAUUUCAUUCAUUCAUUCAAAAAAAAAAAUUACAAAUAAACACUCUAUGUUUGCCCAUUGGAUGAGCCAAAUUGACAUUAAUGCAGUCGCAUCAAGGGGGCCACAUAGUACAUUGUGCACUGGGGGAUCCAAUCACAGGGGCUAUUUAGUUGUACGUACUUAUUCAAUUGUAACGGAUCCAAAUACGAUAUCUAAUUUAUUGUAUUUUCGUAUUUAAAUUUACUUAUUGUAGUUGGAAUUAUACGAUGAGGCUCAACUGCCUGUCAUAGUUAGAAUUACAUAAUUCCAACUGCAAUAGUUGAAAAAAAUAAUUUUAAACAAAAAAUAAAUUUAUUUCUCUAAUAAUUUUUUAAGUAGAAAAAAUACAUAUUUUUUCCUACAAAGGAGAUAAUUAAUCUUACCAGCUCAUAUGCAAAGUGAUAAAAUUUUAUAAAUGCACAUCUCAACUGCAUACAACAAAACAAAUUAUGUAUAAUUAUAGCAUUUUUCACUACAUUCAAUUAAACAAAAUACAAAUAAUUAUAACUACUGUAUUUUCAACUAUAUACAUCUUUAACUAUGCUGUAUAUAUAAUUACGUCCUUCCUAUUGGAUCUUUAAAGCGAUUGCUGAUUCAAUGACAAUUGCAAAAACCUUUAGGGCUUGUUUGGUUCAUCCAUUUUGGGUAUGGAAUGGGAAUCGACAAAUCCGGUUAAUUUUGUUUGGUUCGCAUGAAUCGGUUUGGGAUUUCUAUUCCGGACUGGAAUGGGAAUGGCCCAUUAGCCUUCAACUUGAUUCCGGUCUUCUAACCAGGAUUGAGAUUUCAUUCGGGAAGCCCACUAAGUUCUCGAAGCCCAUGUGACCAUCUCACCCUCUUUCUCUUCACCCCUUUCUCAUCAAAAAAAAAAAAAAAAAAAAAAAAAAAAAAAAUCUAUCCUCUCUCAAAAUCCUAUCCCUAACCCAUAUCAAUAAAAGUUUUUAAAAAUAAAUUUGAUAUUUUUUUUGGAAAACUUAUUAGAGAAUAGUAUUAUAUUUUUUAUAAAUUUUAAAUAAUAUAAAUUUAUAUUUGAGAGUAAAAUUAGUAUUAUAGUAUUCUAUAAUUUUUUUAGUUUAUACGAACCAAACAAUGAAAUAUGAGUAACUCAUUCCAAUUCUCAAUCCACAAAUAAACCAAACGUCUUGGGGGAGUGAGCCAUUCUAAUUAUCAUUCCAAUUCAUUCACAUUCCAUUAUCCAUUCCAAUUCCACCCUUGAACCAAACAAGUCCUUAAUUUCUUGAUAAAAUAUACACUGUCAUGGCUAAACUUUGACGGGUAAUACAGUUAUUAACCACAAGUGGUUUAAGCAGUUAGGUUUGUGAGGAUUGUCAUAGCUAACUUCGUCCCUUCUACUGGAAUGUUUAGCAUUAGUUAAACAAUCACUGGAACAUCUUACCUUUUGUUGCAUCAUAUUCGCUGUCGAUCGAUCUAUGUGUGCUGAUGGAUUUGGUUUGAUUCCCUUUUUAAGUUUUAAAUUGUAUUGAUGAAUUAAUGGUGUACUGUGAUGGUGACUCUCGCAGUUAUGUGAUUCGAGUUGAUUUCAUGCUUUGGUUUUACUUAGUUGUUAAAUUGGUUUUCAAUCGCGAUUUCUAAGUGAAUUUACAAAACGGAGUUAUGGAGGGGUUUUGAUUUUGUAUUGUGUGUGUCGGCGGAGUUUGGAGGACGUUAUGUCAUCAUCCUGCUAUAUUAUAAUUAGUGUGGGUAAUGAUUAUACGUACGCUUGUCUCUUAUAUAGUGAAUAUGAAAAUAAUAAUGUUAGUAUUGUUUAAUUUUUGUGCCUAAUGCCACUGUCUGUGUGGAUAGAAAAAUCCUACGCAUGUGGCUCGUCUUGAUUUUAGUACAGCAUAUUGUUGGCUUAAAUAGACCAGUAUUUUACCCUGUGGCGGAGGCCAUGUGUGGGCCGAGUCAUGUUCGAAGUGACGUGAGACUGAGUGGGCCGAGUCAUGUUCGAAGUGGCGUAAGGUCGGAUGGAUCGAGUCACAAUCAAGACCUGUGGACGCUGUAUUUGUACGCUUUAAGUGAAUCGGUUGCGUAUUUCUAACAACUCGAGCUUUUGGGAUUAAUGGUUAGCGCCAACGAUCCGACAAGUGGUAUCAGAGCCAGUGAUCACGGGUUCAAUUUCCGCAUACUGCAAAUGUGUGCAGGUGCUAGAGAGGGGAUUGUUUGCUUAAAAGGGCCAGUAUCCUAUCCUGCGGCGGGAGAUCAUGUGUGGACCGAGUCAUGUUCGAAGUGGCGUGAGACUAGGUGGGCUGAGUCAUGUUUAAAGCUCGAAUUUUUUGGAUUAAUGAUUAGCGCCAACGAUCAGACAUAUAUCACACUCAAAAUGAUGGCAAUAGGAGAGAUUGAACAAAUCAAACUCUCGAGAAUAUAUCGAGGGCAUGUGUUCUCGGGAGUGUUUGGCAUCGAUUUUUAUGAAUGGUAGAGCUCGCCUACACUAAUAGCUUCCAGUGGAGCAUUGGAAUGGCUUCUUACGAAGCUUUGUAUGAAAAGAAAAUACCAAUCCUCGUUACAUUAGAGCGAGAUCGGUGAAAGAACGACAUUGGUCAUGAUGUGCUAUAAGAAGCUGAGGAAAAAGUUUGAGUUGCACAGGUGCGACUCCUGGUUGCGCAAAGCCGACGAAGGUGUUAUGAUGAUCAGCAUCGGCAUGAUUUUAAGAUUCAAGAUGAAAAAUCACAUGUGUUUGACGAGGGUGUGAAAUUAACGGUUCGGGACGCGAGGAAAGUUAUGCCCUGGCUAUGUUGAUCCCUUUGAAGUGUUGGAGUUAUUUUUCAUCAGUAUGAUUGGAAAAAAUUAAGUAUUUUUUGUAAUAGGUUUAACUCAUAGAAUUUAUCCUAAACCUAUCACGUUGUGUGAAAUGAAUAGGUCAGAGUUUAUGGCAGGGUGAUAAGGUAAUCACAUAUUAAAAUGAUACCAUAAGAAUCUUCUUUUGGAUACUUUUGUAUAAAAUAGAGACAUGUAAUUGAAUAUUGCGAAUCCGUGACAAGACCUAUCCGUAUUGUUGGGUCCCUAGUAUUUUGUUUUCUCGCCCUAAUUCCAAGUUCUCUAGCUAGUAGAUGUGUUGUUUUCAAUCAAAUAUACUUAUAUUCUUUUUUUUUCUAUAAAUUUUUACUAAAAAUUUAUAUCCGUCGCAUCGCGUGUGUUCCUACACUAGUGUCACAUAAAAUUAAUAAAUCAAGUUUAAUGCGUAAUGAACAACGCUAAUACUAAGCUUAUUUAUCAAUUUUAUGCUAGUUUUUGUUUUAAUAUACUUUUUAUAGUUAAAUAUAUGAGAUAUUUGAUGCCCUAAAGCACAUUUUUCUCUUUAACUUGUAGACUAAUAUAACAUGUGUAUCCAACUACAUGCCAUUUCUUUUGAUCGUAUUUUAUAUGAAUAAUGUUUACAUUACAUGCUGCUUCAAAAAUUUUGAAAUUUUAUUUUUGUUUUUACUAAAUCCGUCGAAGAAUCACUAGUUUUUCACAUUUUUAUUUUGUUAUAUACCUUUUAUUAGAAAAAAUAUAUGACAUUUGGAAAACUUUAUACUUGUCACGGUAAAACUCACGUCAAAAGAGAAUAAAAAAUUGAGUACAAAUAACCAGAAAAAUAGUAUUAUUGGUUUUCGCGAGAUAUACUAAUAAUUUAGUUUAAGUACAUGUAUCAAAUUUAUUGGAUAUAAUCUAAUUCAGUUAGUAAAUAAUGAUCACAAUUUUAAUAAAUUUAUCCAUUAACAUUAAAUUAAUUUCUUCAUUAACAAACAAAGUGAAAUUAAUUACUAAGAUUCAAAUCCGACAAUGUGCGUCAGAUUCAAACUGGUUUGUUAUUUGAAAACGGGUCCAUUGCCAACUCACCCUAGACCAUUUUAAGUUCCUGCAUAAUCACACAUAUACCCUUCCCACUUUCUGAAAAAAUUAUAAUUUUUUGAGUUACUUGAUGCCUAAAUAAUAAAUUUAAUUUUCAAAAAAAUUUAAUUUUUUGAACAUCAAGCUACUCAGAGAUUAUAGAUUACAUCAAAAUAUUUAAAAUUUUAAUUUUUAAAACCCAUAGCUAUAAAUUGUACUAAUCUAUAUAUAUGGACUUAAUUUCUUUUUCUGUGUGUUAUAGGUUUUUUGGGAUUUUACAUACCAUUAAUUCUCGUUUAAAUUAUAAAUUUUUAGUCAAACUCCAACCAUAAAUCGCCCCAAAGACAUGUGGUUUCUGCGGAUUUAAGAUAUGGUUUUUACCAUAAGAUAUUAAUUUUACUAUCAAAAUUAUUAAAAUAUAUAAGAUGAACCAAAAAAUUCGGUAUUACAUUAAUGCACUGAACCAAAUGAAAUAAUACGAUAUUAGUAGUAAUCUAAAUAACAGAUACCGGAUUACUAUACCGGAUUAUUAAUCAUGUUGAGAUAACCAGCGAUGUUACAUAAUGCGAACUAAACAGGCCCUAAAAAUCUAAUUUGAUAAUGUGAUGACUAAAAGUAUUAUAUUUAUACUAUCAGAGGUCAAAAAAGUCUAAAAACACUUAUAAUUUUUUUCCUCCAAUACAUUAAAAUUUAUGGUUGUAACAAUUAUAUGCUUCUCCCAUAGUGAUUAUAACAAUAAUUUUAUAAUAUAAAAAAUACUUUUAUAAAUUUUAUAAUUUUUAUAGUAUAAAAAUAAUAUUUUUAGUUACACCAUAUUAUCAAACUAGCCAAACUAGUACAUGUAUAUUGAGAUAUCAUAUGUAACAACACAGUCCACUAAUUUUAUUGAGUUCAAACCACUGGAUGAGGAGUAAAACUCUCAUUUCCCAAAAUAAAAAUAAAGUUAGAGGCAAAGGCUCGAAAAAAAAAUAUAUAUUCUCCUUUAAAUAGAAAGAAACUGUUAUAAUUAGUCUAUGGUCCAUAUCCUCUCUCUCUCCUCCAUUAUUAUUAGGCUAAAUUGCAUAUGUAGUCCUCAAACUUUAAAGUUUGCGACACUACAGUUCUCAAACUUUAAUUUAUUAUAAUUUUUUAGUUUAAUUUUAUUAGAUUUUUAUAAUUAAUUUUGACAGUCUAAUUUAAUAAAUUAAAUCACAGCGUGCGAUAAAAUAUAAAAAUUAUUGAAAUAUCGUGUUACUAUUAUAUUGUCAAAACAUGUCAGUUAAAUUAAACUGUAAUAUUUUAUUAUAAUAAUUUAAAAACUUCAUAUAAAAUAUUAUUAAAAAUUAAAAUUUGAGAACCCAAAUAAGCCUAAAAAAAGGUUGAGGACCAAAAGUGCAGUUCACUAUUCUAUUAUUAUUAUUAUUAUUAUUAUUCUCUCUCAUCAUUGCAUCACCAUCUUCCACUUGCUUCAUCCCUCCGCAAUUUUCUGCAAUCCCCACCACCUCUCUCUCUCCCCCUCUCUAUCUCUUAUCUCCAUCUCUCCUCCCAUUUUUUUUCCUCUCUCCUCAUUCACCCUCUCUCUCUCUUUCUCUUUCUCUCCUCCUCUGUGUUUGUGUUUGUGUUCUCUCAUCAGGACACAAGAGAGUUCGUAACACAAAACAGAGGAGGUGUAGAAACGAAUAUCAAGAACAUAUAUAUAUAUAUAUAUAUAUAUACACACACACAUAAAGAGGUAAUUUGUUACUGUUCUAUUGUAGUUGAUAAAAUUCUCUGAUAACUAAGGUGGUGUACGUAGAAAGGAAUUAAGCAGAGUAAGAGACAGAGAGGGAGAGGGAGAAGGAGAGGGGUGGGGGGGAUCGGAAUGGCGUUUCAGGGGACGACGACGAAGUGCACGGCGUGCGACAAGACGGUGUACUUGGUCGACAAGCUCACCGCCGACAACCGGAUCUACCACAAGGCCUGCUUCAGAUGCCACCAUUGCAAAGGCACUCUCAAGGUAACAUAACCAAACCAAACCAAACCAAAAAAAAUGCAUGAGUACAAAUAAAAAUAUCAUGCACAAAUACCAACCUCUCCAAAUUUGUAGAUUCUAAAAAGGAUGUCAUCUCUGUUGCUUGAUUGGUUGCUUGGUUUGUUGGAGUCCCAAACUUUUAUGUCUCUGCUUUCUUUUCUUUUCUUUUUUUUUUAUUUUUUUCCUUUUUUUUAAGAGGCGUUUGGUUUCUCGCAAAAUUAUGAAAAACUGUUUUCUUAAAAAAAAAAAGUUUUUACAGCAAAUAUAUAUAUAAUUAUAUAUAUAUAAUGGAGCUCUAUGUUUUUGAAAAAUACUAAAUUUUUUGUGCUGGUAAAUUUUUGACCGUUGGAUUAAAAGAUCUGCGGUUAGGAUGACGGGGGACCUUUAGGGUUGAGUAGGUGGUUGGUUAUAUAGUAUAAUCUAAUAUGUGAAAAUGAUCAAAAGGUGGAUCUAUGUGUUUGGUAUUUUUACAAACAUCAUAACCGGAUUCUAUAUAUAUAUAUAUAUAUAUUCAAAAUUUUAUUUUUUUUAUAAAGAUUUCAGAAGAAAAGGUAAUUUUUUCUGAGAACCAAAAGGACAGAAAAUAAAUUUUCUAAAAUUUUUUUUGGGUAAUCAACCAUUCCUUCACUCACCAUGGUUUUGUGGAUUUUUUUUGUUUUCUUUUCUUUCUUUAUUAUUAAACUAUACAGCAUUUUAGGACAGGACAUAUCUCAAUUUUCAAUUGUCCAGCUAAUGCAAAAAAAUUUUAUUCAUUUAAUUGAAAUAAACCCAAACAAAAAUUUAGAUUAUAUCAAUGAAGAGAAAAGUAAAGUUCAAUGGCCAAUUUUGUAAUAAUAUUUCCUGAUACCCCUUAAUAGAUCUCUAAUAAAUGUUGCCUCAUCAUGAUUGCUAUUAAGGCUUUUCAAUCAUAUAAUAAUAAUAAUAAUAUUUUCUGAUAUAUAAUAAGUUAAAUGGUCAAAUGUACAUUUAGUCCCUGAACUUUUGAUGAAUUGCAAUUUGGUCCAUGAUCCUUUUGUGAUCUGACCCAAUUUCCUGCUAAAUUCUCUAACAUCACUAUGAACCAAAUUGGAACCAUAUGUAGUAUAUCAACAUGAAAACUAUGAUCAUGACUCAAAUCGAUUAACCCAUGAAUACGGAAUCCGCGAUUUCAAGGUUCGGAAGGCUUGAAAAGCACUCAAUUCUUCAAAUCUUGCAUCAUAUUUUGUUCCAAUUUUAUGCUUCCAAAAUGCAUGAUCUUCAAAAUGAAACAAGCCUCAAAAAUCUGUAGAAGUUGUUUCUAGUUGAUCUUUACGUAACAAAUAACGACUACCGAUCGCAGCUCGGCAAUUACAAUUCGUUCGAAGGAGUGCUCUACUGCAGGCCGCAUUUCGACCAGCUUUUCAAGAUGACCGGAAGCCUCGACAAAAGCUUCGAAGGUAAUCGAUCGAUUAGAGCUUAAACUCAAACUUUUGUUUUGGACUAAUUAGAUGUUAAUAUUUUCGCCUCUCUUUAACUUCAGGGACUCCAAAGGUUGUCAAGCCAGAAAAGCAUGUUGAUACUGAGGUAUGUGCACAUUUGGCCCCUACUUUUUCCGUCGAGAUGUACAGAUUCAGAAACUGAUAUGUUUCAAUGAAAGAACAGAGACCGCAUUUUUAAUUUAUCGAAUGUUCGGGGCGUAUGAUCAAUGGAUAAGGCGAGAUAUGCAUUACAGCUAAAUUUUUGUACUACUACUGCUGGUGCUGAAUUUGAGUCUUUGCUUAAACAGAACGCGAACAAGGUCUCCGGUGCAUUCGCUGGCACGAGGGAGAAAUGCGUUGGAUGCAAGAAGACCGUUUAUCCGAUCGAAAGGGUAUCAUUUUGAAUCACUUCUCUGCUUGCUUAAACUUCUUUAGAGUCAUUUUGCUGUCAUAAGUACCCUGCAGCUGAACAAGUGUUGCUGAACUUCUAGAGCUUCAAUGUUUGAGUUCCUGCUUUUGGGGCUUCAAGGAUUGUUUCAGCUUCUAGACAAAAGUGUGUUUUGGAGUUUUCCGGCAGAAAUAAGCUAAAAGAUGUGCUUCGCGGUCCCAACAGCAAAAACUCCAGUUUGAAACUUCUGCUUCUGCUGCAAAAAGAGAUUGUUUUUCACGAAAACAGGCGCCUAACUUCUAAUAACUAAUAAAAGCAUAAGCUGCUGUUGAACCCUAAACUAACUGUACCUUCAAUCUCCUAUGCAGGUCACUGUGAAUGGAACAGCUUAUCACAGAAGCUGCUUCAAGUGCACUCAUGGUGGAUGUGUCAUAAGCCCUUCCAACUACAUUGCUCAUGAGGGAAAGCUCUACUGCAAACACCACCACAUCCAGCUCUUCAAGGAGAAAGGGAAUUACAGCCAGUUUGAGAAUGAGCAAGAGAAAACUGCGAGCGAAAGCGCCGCGGCAAAUGGAGAAGCACACUAGCUGUAAUUCUCGUCGACAUGGCCACAUGCAUUUCUCCGCGAUAUCUUCGAGAGUGUAUAAAUAUCAUAAGAUGAUGGUUGAUGAUGAUGUAUUGAAACAUAAAAAGAGUUGUUUUGUGUUCUUCAAUGAGAGUGGUGUGUUGGUCCAGUGUUUGCAUGUAGAGACUUUUGUUUGGGCUUUUAUAUUGUGUUUGGGUUCUCAUUAUCUUGCUUGAUUAAAUGGACUUCCCCUUUUGUUUUUUCAAUUUUGUGUGUUUGUGUUUCUUUACUUUGCUUAAACUUUCAUUGUUAUAUGUUAAUUGUGGAAUUGAUUAAAGCUUCUGAAGUUGCACCUCAAUGGACCAAAACACUUUCAGAGGAUCUGCAACAACAUUGAAUGGAGAUAUCAAAGCAUUUGCAUAUCAACAAACAAUACAUGGCCAUCACAGCUCAAAUGAUUAUCCUCUUCCAUUUUGUUUUCAAUCAACAUUGCUCUCACUUUGCAUCAUCAAAUGAUUAUCCUCUUCCAUUUUGUUUUCAAUCAACAUUGCUCUCACUUUGCAUCAAACAUCUGCACUCCUAAUUCCAUUUCCCACUGAUACACAUCAAAUGAAAAAAAGAGAAAAAAAAAAAAGUGUGACAUGUGACAUAGCAAUAAUGGGAACUUGGUCAAAAAUAAAACCAACAACCUAUUCAUCUUUUAUUGCAAUCAUAAUGGUGUUAGUAAAAAAAUGGGUUGGACACACUCUUUGCACCAACUUGUGUGCUGCAUUUCACAUGCCACCAACUCAAAGAUACUGACAUCCCAGCUGUCUGUAGACCAAAACAGCAUGAUGUCUUUCCAACCUUUGCUUACAGAUGAUCGAUUGUUUGCUAGCAUAGUUUAGUGUACUUAAUUGAGUAUUAAGAAUUAUUUAGCAAAUAAUAAUGAUGAUACAGUACUUCAGGGUAAACUUCAAUUUGCCCCCGUUAUGGUAUAACGGAUAUUUACUUUGCCACUCUGUAAUUCAAAAAGUUGCACAUUACUGCCAUAUAGUAUAGUGCAUUUUCACAUUGUCUCUCUGUAGUUCAAAAUUUAUAUUUCGCUAUCAUAUAAUUUUAUUUUUCUUUCACUAUAAGGACUUAUUGUUAAACAUGAUACCAUCCUACGAUUUUUUAAAAAAUUUACUUUCCUACCCUAUUCGAUGAUAGAUAUUUUUUGCUAAAACUAAAUUAAAACUACAAAAUAGUUAAAUGCAAUCUUUUAAAUCACAGAGUGAUAAAGUAAAAAUACGCUAUACUAUAGAAGGGGCAAGUUGAAGGUUGCCCAAGAACUCAAGCAUAUAAAAAUGCUUAUGUAACAUUGGCUCUAUUAGGCAUUGUUCGAAUGCGUGUGUGUGUGUAUAUGUACAUAUAUAUAUAUAGAAUUAGACUGCUAUACUAUCUAUAGUACUAGAGCUCCGGUACUAUAGUCUUGUUUUCGAUCUUAGGGUAUUCAAAUUAACGACCCACACCGUUAAAUAUAAUUUAGGGUAUAUGAAGUUCUAAGAAAUAAAAUUUUAGUUUUUUUCAACAUUGUUUACUAAGUAAAUAAAUUAUAUCAAAAUAAACGGUAAAAAUUGAAUAAUUUUUAAAAUUUGAGUAUAGGACUUUUAAAUUCAAGAUUAAGAAUGUUAACUUUAAUCUAGAUAAUUUAAAGUAUUUUCUAUCAAAAUUUGAAGAAAUUUAGAUUCUUCUGCACCAUUAAACUCCAAACUCGCCAUAGUAGCCAUUGAAAAUUGACAAUUUUGAAAUGGUUUGAUCAUAAAGUAAACUAUGUCGAAAAAAUAUAAAAUUUUAUUUCUAAAAACUUUAAAUACCUUAUAUCAGUUUUAACGGUGCGGAUCGUUAAUUUGAACACUCUAAGAUCGAAAACAAGACUAUAGUACCGGAGCUCCGGUACUAUAGAUAAUAUAGAAGACUAGCUCUCUCUCUCUCUCUCUCUCUCUCUCUCUCUCUCUCUCUCUCUCUCUCUCUCUCUAUCUCUAUAUAUAUAUAUAUAUAUAUAUAUAUAUAGAAUUGCCCUUGGUGCUUCUAAGUUUUUAACUCUUGGAUCUACUCCUUAAUUACUAACACCUUUUGAAUCAAACACUAUUCCACCUAUCACCACCUAUCACAAUCAUUUCAACCCUACAUCUCUCUAUCCAAUAGUUAAAAACUCAAAAUCACCAGGAGUGGUACUUUGAGAGUAUUCUAGCUCAACUCUCUCUCUCUCUCUCUCUCUCUCUCUCUCUCUCUCUCUCUCUCUCUAUAUAUAUAUAUAUGGAACUGACUUAAACUAUAGCUUGUUGUGGCAAUAAAACCAAACUUCUUCAGGUGAUGAUUUUGGUAAUUAAUCUUCCUAAAUCAUGAUUUGAGUCCUUGGAUGGCUCUGCUGUUAGAUGUGAUGCUUUGAUAGAAAUAUCCUGACAUGAAACACAUGAGAUACUGUGAUCAAAUUCAAUAAAGCAAACGGAAAAUAUCAUGAUAAAAACAACUUUUUGAAGAUAAAAUAGUCAUUCAAAGUGGCCCACAGUACAGGUUAAUUUUCCACCUUGUCUUUUAGUUUAUACUGGACUCAUUUUCAUAAAUUUAGUUAAAAAAGAAUAAUCUUAUAUUCUGUGAUUUAUUUCUCUUUAAAUUUAGUUAAAAAAGAAUAAUCUUAUGUCACCAUGAGAAACACUACCUACUUUCAAUCAUUGAAGCACGGAGUAUAAAAGAAAGGGUCAAUUGCUUAUAUAUCCCUGAAAAGUUUUCGACUUUCUGAUUUACCCCUUUUAGAAGGCUAAUAUUGAAAAUAUCAUUUUUAUGUUCCAACCUAUUUCUAAUAUAUCCCUAGAGUUAAAAUCUGUUAAUUAACUCUGUUAUCUCUGUAUAAUUACUAUUUUGCCCUUUCAAAUAUACCCUUCCAUCAUCACUGAUUUUCUUAUUUGCCCUUAAAGUCAGAGACACAAAAAAUAUUUUGACUUUUGGUCUUUUCCAAUAUACUCCUCUACCGUCACCAAUAUUUUUUAUUUGCCCUUAAGUUAAGGGCAAGAUUGGCAUUUUAAUUUUUUUUAACUGUGCUAGAUAUUUAACUCACGUUAACCCAAGUUAACUUAACAGGAGAUAACUACGGAGGUAUUUUGCAAUAACGGUGGAACAUAUGAGGAGUAUUUUAGAAAGAAAAAAAAAAGCAGGAGUAAAUCGGAUAUUUUC